UGAAGUUUGGAAAGAUUAGGGAAGACUUCCUGGGCAGUGGUAUCCCGUGGGCCCUAAAGAAAGGACGAACAAACAAAGGAAGAGGAGGGUAAGUGAAGGGGUGGUUUGAAUGACCAAGGUUGUAGGAGGCAGGCUGGGAUUCUGCACUUGACUCUGGGCAGCUGGGAACCUGGACAGCCCUCAGGCAGGGAGGGUAGCAGCAGUGGCGAUGCCUCUCCCAGACCAGUUUAUAACAAAUUAAACCUUCACUGAUCUGUGGAACAUACAACAGCACCUGGCACAUCAGGGCCAUUAGCAUUUAGGGAUAAACCGUCUCAGAGAAAGCAGCCCAACACUGGGAAAUGGAAUUGAAUGUUUCUCUGAAGAGGAAACAGGGAGCAGCUCCAAGCAUUUGAACCUGGAUGAGUCUCAGCUCUCGAGCAGAUUUGGCAAAUGUACCACAGAAAACGUGUGAGAGAGGACGGGGAGGGAGACUGCUCUUUCACCCUGUAAUCACGAGCAGAAAUAACCCCUCAUUACAACCUUUAACUAGAGGAGGCCUUUAGAUGAGGUAGUAACAAAGCUGCACAGAAUCCCUUUGAAGACUGAGCCAUUGGUGGAGUGGAAAGUGCUAACUCCGUCAGCACCCUUCAUGAGUAAUCAAGCUUCUCCCAGCAGAACUGGAGUGUCUUACACGUGUUAAGUACGGACACACAUUUACACAACUGGAUUGUGAAAGCGAUCUGGUGAGCACAGACCUCCGCCAUCCAUCUCUAGAAUUCUUUUCAUCACCUCUUCUGACUUCCAAGUGACCAAAAUACCUGACAAAAACAACUUGAAGAAGAAAAAUUUAUUUUGGGCUUAUAGUUUCAGAAGUCCAACUCCAUGGCUCUGUGCCUGAGGAACCAAAACAGGGGUCCCAAGGUGGUGAGGAACUUCAACGUGAAGAGGGCUUUGGAGAUGGUAGAUGAAGUAGAAGGUCAAGAAGCAUCCCUGAAUUACAGCAACAAUCACGGGCCUGAGUGAAACCACCAAAUAACACGUAGGAAACUGAGUCCAAGAAAAGUAAACAUCUCUAUAGUCCAUGGGUGGCAAUACUAAGACAGUUCUCUAUUCUGAUUUCCAUGCCCUUACUUUUACACUUCAGGAGCCUUUUGCCCGUGCUAAUAUUUUUCUAAGAGUACCAGAGGGAAGACAUCAAAAAUUACAGCAGGCUACACUAAGGACCCUGCUGCAAGCAGUGCCGGUGGCCACACAGGAACACAGCUCUCAAGCUGCCACUUCUAAUGCCAAAGCAAAAUACAGCCCAGUGAGUGCGGAGACUCAUGGCUUUCUAUCUGGAGGUGGAACUUAUCAGGUGAAGAGCAUUUAUAGCCUUUAUAAUGUGAGCAGCACAUUCUGCACAUCCCCUGGACCUAAGUUAUACUGGGUGCAUUAAAUUACUCAGAAGUUUUAUAAACCAUUCCUGCCUUCCCACUAUUCUCCUCUAACUGACUUUUUGAUGUUUCUGGAAUGUAUUUUAUGUCUUAUGUGUGAGGGGCACAGAAAGUUUAAGACUCAUUGAUGAGGCUGCACAGUAACUAAUCACAGGUCUGUGAUCAUCUUACACAGAUGAGCAAGCUUCAAGAACUCUCCUUCUAAUCAAAGACCUAGUAUUAAACUGUAAACUAUGCAACUCCUAGAAGAAAAUGUAGGGUCAAUACUCCAACACAUAGGCAUAGGCAGCGACUUUCUCAAUAGGACCUAUCAAACUUGGGAAAUAAUGCCAAGAGUUAGUAAACGGGAUGGUAUCAAAUUAAAAAGUUUCUGCACAGGAAACAAUCAGGAAUGUGAAGGGAGAACCUAUAGAAUAAGAGAAUCUUUGCUAGCUAAACUUCUGACAUAAGAUCAACAGAUAGAUAUAUAAAGAACUCAAAAAACUAUACACCAAAAAACAAAUAACCCAAUUAAUGCAUGGGCAAAUGAAUUAAACAGACACUUCCUAAAGAAAUACAAAUGGCCAACAAAUAUAGGAAAAAAUGUCCAACAUCAUCAGCAAUUAGGGAAAUGCAAACCAAAACUACACUAAGAUUUGAUCUCAUAUCAGUCAGAAUGGUUGUCAUCAAGAAUACAAAUAAUAGUAAAUGCUGAAGAGGAAGUGAAGAAGAAGGAACACUUUUACACUGUUGGUAGGACUGUAAAUUAGUAUGAUCAGUAUGGAAAUCAGUAUGGAGGUUCCUCAGAAGACUAGGCAUAGACCCAGUUAAAUCACUCCUUGGCAUUUAACCUAAAGAAGUAAAGUCAAACUAUAAGGAUACAUGUGUACCCAUGUUCCUAGCAGCAUAAUUCACAAUAGCCAAACUACCAAACCAACCCUUGUUCAUCAAUGGAUGAAUGGGAAAAGAAAAUCUGGCACUUAUACACAAUGGAGUUUUAUUCAGUCAUAAAGAAAAAUGAAAUUAUGUCAUUUGCAGGAAAGUGGCUGAAGCUUGAGAUCACUAUGUUAAGCAAAAUAAGUCAAACUCAGAAGGUCAAGGAUCAUAUGUGUCCUCUUAUAUGUGGAAGCUAGAGAGGGAAAAGGAAA